UACGGGGGGAGCAAGCGUUGUUCGGAUUUACUGGGCGUAAAGGGCGCGUAGGCGGUCAGCACAAGUCAGUUGUGAAAUCUCCGGGCUUAACUCGGAAAGGUCAACUGAUACUGUGCGACUAGAGUGCAGAAGGGGCAACUGGAAUUCUCGGUGUAGCGGUGAAAUGCGUAGAUAUCGAGAGGAACACCAGUGGCGAAGGCGGCUCACUGGCCCGGUACUGACGCUGAGGUGCGAAAGCGUGGGGAGCAAACAGG
rnacentral:rRNA from 1 species